CCUCACUGACUAUCUGUACAUGAGAGCAACAGAGAGAGUGCGACGCGCAGCGCACGCGCACACUCGAUAGUAUCAUAUGCUUCCGGAAAGUAAAAAGUCGUAACAAGGUUUACGUAGGUGAAACCUGCGGAAAGGAUCAGUGUUCGAUGCCUCACAAAGCAGUGCUAACUCGUGGAAUUUGUUUAUUCUACUCCCGGGGUGGUAUGAUGGUACGUUCAACGGCUCAAACCAUUUUGUAUUCCACGAGGGGUCUUGUGUGUAAAAAAAAAAAAACUACAAGGUCUCCGUUGGUGAACCAGCGGAGGGAUCAUUA
rnacentral:rRNA from 1 species